CCUUCUUAUGGAAGGGAGAACACCUAGACAAACGAGAAUUAGAACAUGACUGUUUUUUUGAGAGCGAGCAGCAGCAGAGAAGGAGCGGGAGCAGCGUGGGAAGUGACGAGGCUCAGAGGGGCAGCCGGGAAGGAAAGCAGUGACCACAUAUAUCAGCAAGGCGGCUAAACCUGAGACUCUACAACUGUAGUGUCUCCCACCCGCCCUCCUCCUCUAACCUAGUUAAUAAGGAAGAAGGGUCUGUUGACCCAGACACCUCCACUUGAGUUUGACAACCGGGUGAUUGGGUCCUGAUCAAGACCUGGAAAGAUACCAAACUACACCCGAGCUGGGAGGGACCAUUCCUAACCCUCCUGACUACUGAGACAGCCGUCCGAACUGCUGAGAAAUGGUGGAGUCAUCACAUUCACGUCAAAGGUCCUGUGAACACCCCACUGGCGGAGUGGCACACUCAUCCUACA